rnacentral:rRNA from 1 species
CGAUGAACCACUUCGGUGGGGAUUAGUGGCGAACGGGUGAGUAACACGUGGGCAAUCUGCCCUGCACUCUGGGACAAGCCCUGGAAACGGGGUCUAAUACCGGAUACUGACCCUCACAGGCAUCUGUGAGGUUCGAAAGCUCCGGCGGUGCAGGAUGAGCCCGCGGCCUAUCAGCUUGUUGGUGAGGUAAUGGCUCACCAAGGCGACGACGGGUAGCCGGCCUGAGAGGGCGACCGGCCACACUGGGACUGAGACACGGCCCAGACUCCUACGGGAGGCAGCAGUGGGGAAUAUUGCACAAUGGGCGAAAGCCUGAUGCAGCGACGCCGCGUGAGGGAUGACGGCCUUCGGGUUGUAAACCUCUUUCAGCAGGGAAGAAGCGAAAGUGACGGUACCUGCAGAAGAAGCGCCGGCUAACUACGUGCCAGCAGCCGCGGUAAUACGUAGGGCGCGAGCGUUGUCCGGAAUUAUUGGGCGUAAAGAGCUCGUAGGCGGCUUGUCACGUCGGUUGUGAAAGCCCGGGGCUUAACCCCGGGUCUGCAGUCGAUACGGGCAGGCUAGAGUUCGGUAGGGGAGAUCGGAAUUCCUGGUGUAGCGGUGAAAUGCGCAGAUAUCAGGAGGAACACCGGUGGCGAAGGCGGAUCUCUGGGCCGAUACUGACGCUGAGGAGCGAAAGCGUGGGGAGCGAACAGGAUUAGAUACCCUGGUAGUCCACGCCGUAAACGGUGGGCACUAGGUGUGGGCAACAUUCCACGUUGUCCGUGCCGCAGCUAACGCAUUAAGUGCCCCGCCUGGGGAGUACGGCCGCA